rnacentral:tRNA from 1 species
CACUAUAGCUCAGUCGGUAGAGCAUGAGACUCGUAAUUUCAGGGUUCUGGGUUCGAGCCCCACAUUGGGUGA